ACUCAACACUAACAUUUUAAAGAUGGGUAAAUCAUCGCUUCUAAAGCAAGCUGCCUUGAGCAGAUCCUUGAACAGCGGGUUAGCCCAAAACUUGUCACUACGAGUUU
rnacentral:sRNA from 1 species